rnacentral:rRNA from 1 species
AUGAAAUUGCCACCUGCCAUGACAAACAUAUAUGUUGGUCCUUCCUUUGGGCAGUCCCAAGGAUGCCUGUAUGCUUGGCGGAUGGACGAUUGCCAGCUCUCUGUUUGGGCUCUUGAGAACUAUGAUGGUGGACAGUGGACCCUAAGGUGUACUGUCGACUGUUUGGAACUGUUCGGAAGGGAUUGUCGCAAAGAAAAUGAGUUCUACCGGAUGUUUGCAAUUCAUCCAGAAUGUGAUAUGAUUUUCCUUAUUGACAGAAAGGAGAAGACAUUGUCAUACGAUAUGAAUAACAAAAAAGUGCAUGCUAUCUGCGCUUCUGGAGAUUUCCCGGAAGGUCUACCUUACACUCCCUGUUUUGAGGAAUGGACAUGA